rnacentral:rRNA from 1 species
UACGUAGGUGGCGAGCGUUGUCCGGAUUUACUGGGCGUAAAGGGCGCGUAGGCGGCCUGUUAAGUCGAACGUGAAAUCCCCGGGCUCAACCCGGGAACUGCGUCCGAUACUGGCAGGCUUGAAUCCGGGAGAGGGAUGCGGAAUUCCAGGUGUAGCGGUGAAAUGCGUAGAUAUCUGGAGGAACACCGGUGGCGAAGGCGGCAUCCUGGACCAACACUGACGCUGAGGAGCGAAAGCCAGGGGAGCAAACGGG